AUUGGAUGAGCCCGCGGCCUAUCAGCUUGUUGGUGGGGUAACGGCCUACCAAGGCUUCGACGGGUAGUUGGCGUGAGAGCGUGGCCAACCACACUGGGACUGAGACACGGCCCAGACUCCUACGGGAGGCAGCAGUGGGGAAUAUUGCGCAAUGGGCGAAAGCCUGACGCAGCGACACCGCGUGCGGGAUGAAGGCCUUCGGGUUGUAAACCGCUUUCGGCAGGGACGAAGCGAAAGUGACGGUACCUGCAGAAGAAGGUCCGGCUAACUACGUGCCAGCAGCCGCGGCCGAAU
rnacentral:rRNA from 1 species